rnacentral:lncRNA from 1 species
UUUGUAAUUCAAACCUCAACAAUUGAAAACUUUGCUUAGUUUUAACUGCUGUGAAGAAUGAAAAACUUAUCCAAUGACUUGGAUUUUGCAGGACUGUUAAAUGAUGAAGGAACAAAUGAAUUUAUUGUUCAGGACCUCAUUUCACCCACAAAACUGUGCACUGAACUGCCGUCAAAUUUACAGAGUUCACAGAAAAAUGAAACUGUCAUGGAUAGCCAUGAUUGUCAAAAAAACAUUUCAGUUUCUCCGAGUAAUAAUGAAAUUGAAACUCCUCUACUAAAGGUGAAGAAUGUUGCAAGAAAAGGUAGAUUGAUGUCAAUUUCUCCAGUGGUUGAGGAAACUGAUUCUCCCUCGGCAAAUCUUACAAAAAGCAGCAACAGUAAAGAUUGGCUUUUGAGUUCCGGAAACAAGUCAGAAGAUGUUGAACGAAUUUGCAAGUUCAAAAGGCUGCGGAAAGUUGGAGAUAUUGGGGAGAAAAAAAAUUCAAAGGGCACAAUAGAAAAUUCUACAAUCCCUAUCAAAAACCUUAAUAGAUCCUUUUCAGGUACUAGUCCUAAUCAAGUUAAGCAUGGUGAUGGGGCUUGUAGUCAUAUUUGUUGCAUCUAGCUACCCAUUCUGGCCGUGGAAAAAUAUUUAUCUAGCAAAGUAGGUCUGCCUGUUGUUUGUCUUGAAUGGAUGCCUGAGUAUGCUAAAGCUCUAUGAUUGUGAAAUGUUUUGGAAUCAAACGCAAUAUUACUAUCAAUAACACUAAUCAACUUUGCCUGUGUUUAGGUAAAAAGAAGCGAGUUGGCAAUGCCAGGGCCUUCAUUGAGGAGGAAGCUGAGUAAGUUCAUGUUUGAAUGAAAAGUUUAUGCUGCCAGACUUGUUUCUUGAACAGAAUUCUGAUUUCUCAUUAUAACCAUUAGCUGUUUUUCAGAAACUUUUUAUUUAUUUAUGGAUACUUUAAUAUAGAUUCUAUCAUGCAAAGAUGCCGAGUGAAGUAAUUGUUUCCUAGAAAUUGUAAGACACUACUGUUUUCUGAAUGUUCAUGCUGCCUUCUCUGCAUUUUGGGUGUGAUCAGAGUAUCUUCGGAAGCUGAAAUAUCUGAUGACGAGGCAGAUGACCUGGGAAACAGUUCAAAUGAUGAUAGUUUCAUAGAUGACAGGAUAAAUCCAACAGUGGCAAGUGCUGAUUCCAAAGCUAGCAGAGCUGACAUGAUGGCAGUUUACAGGUUUUUGACUCCCUGUCAGUCUAUCUCGUGCACAUGUCCAUGUGUGUUAGGGCUUAAUCUAAGAUAUACAUAUAUAAAAACUGCAGUAUUGGAAUCUGAAAGUUCUAGUUAUCUGUCAAGCUAAGUUGCAUGCUUCAUUUCGUUUUCUAGAUGGUUAUUUUAAUAAUCUCUUCAUAUACUUUCUAUUGGGAUGAAACUGCUGAGUGUUAAAUCUAAUCGAUGUUGUCAUGCCACAGGCGUUCUUUGCUCAGCCAAUCACCAAUGGCAAGGGAAUCUAGUUCUAGUGCCACCUUUACUCCUGAUUACGGGGCGUCUACAAGUAGAAUGAAUGGAAGUGGGAGCUCCUCGGUCAAGACACCUCAAACUGAUUCAGCCAAUCAGUCUGCUGGAAGGGAUUUAGGACCCUUCCAAAUCAACCAAGAGAGGAUCUCUACAGCAAGGCCCUGUACAACCACUGAUUUUAAGAGAGAGAACGAGACAAUAUCAGAAACCAGGAAACGAAAUUCUAGUUUUUGUCAAUCAUCUAUUCCUGUUCUGAACUUAGAGCACAAGUUCUCUUCGCCGUCAGAGGUUCCAGAGAAAGCAUCAUUCCAGCAAGGUCCGGCAGGCGAAAUUGAUGCCAAUGAGGAUAUAUUCUAUGAUGAUUUUUUUGCCACUCUUGAUCUUGAUGCUGUGGAAGCACAAGCUACAUUACUUCCCAAACAACGAUCAGACUUGUCCGUACAAAAUCAGGAUGUGAUUCUAAAAUCAGACCUACAAAGUUCCCCAUCAUUUGAUCUUGGGAUAUUGUAAUGCAGUGAAAAUCUGUCUGGUUCAUCGUAUACCUUCAAAGAAUCGGCGGUAGCCGGCAAUUUGAAAAUACUCUGGAAAGGUAUGAUCUGUCAAACGGUCCAACGUGAGAUAGAGCUGUUGGAAGUGUAGUAUCGGUUCGUUUUAAAAUAUUUUUUUUUAUUUUUAAAAAAUUAUUUUUAUCAUCACAUCAAAAUAAUUCAAAAAUAUUAAAAAAUAAAUUUAAUAAAAAAAUUAAAAUUUUAAUCCAAUGAUGUUUUUGCCUACAGACGAAUGUCUUUACUACUCUCUGACUGAAUAUUCAUUCGCCCUUGGUAUGUUUUAUCCUUCUGACAUAUGAAAGAGUUGGUCUCAGUAAUUCUUGUACUUUUUUAAUUUUAAAAUUGGCUCCAUCAAUUUUUGACAUCUAGAUAGACGAGAUAAAAACACUUUCUCCCUUCUCGCUUAAUUUUUUAUGACAUCAUUAUCUGAUAUGGUUUGGUAUACCAAAUUAGCAUGGCUGUCCAAAAACGUGAAAGCUUUCUCAAAUAAUUUAAAACAACCAUUUAUUGCUUUCAUCUAUAAUAGGAUUUUUUAUAUAAUGGAUAGUUUUAUACUAAUAAAUAUAAAUUUCAUAUUUUAAACACAGAAAAAAAACUUAUACCUUUUAGUAUAGAGUAAUAUUAAUUUUUUUAUUCUUCGUAUUAACAAUCAAAUCAAUUCUUAGCGUUUUAGUUGUUUAGGUAAUACGGUCACAAGUUUGGAUCUGUUCUCUGAGAUUAUAUUAUAUUCGUUCAAAACUAUCGGUUAUUGAAUUAAAAGUAAAAUGGACAACAAGUCUCAAACCAUUUUUCUUGUUUAUGAAUCUUUGUAUUUGACAUGGUAAUUUCGAAUCCAACGCAUAUUUUUGUGCUUAAUUUACAUGGAGAAAAUAAGUUUGAUAUAUACACACACGUAAUACUACAGGGGUGAUAUAAUAGAAAUAGACUAUGUACUAGUCAGUUUCCUGGGAGCUACCACUGUGAACAUUUUGGAAAUUUUAUUAAACUUAGGUAAGCUAGGUAGCUUGAUAUAUUUAUUCAUCAGUCUCACCCAUAGAUCAGGUUGAGUUUUAAAAUAAACGAGGGAAGAGUUGUUUAAUAUAACUCAGCUCACCUGAUAAGUAUAUCUAUAACUUUGUUAGCUCGAUUAAAAUUUAGUUUAAAUUUAAAAACUAAAAAUAAAAAACACUAAUUUAAUAUUUUAAAAAAAUAUUGAAAUAACAAUGUUUUAGAUUAACCCACAUCAAACUAAGUUAAUUUGAUCAACUCAUGAUUCAUAUCAUAAUUCUCAAUUAAUUUAAAAACCUUGCAUUUUGGAAUUUAUUUUCUAGAAUGAAUGAAAUUAUUAAAAAAAAAUGUAUUUUUUCUAUUUAGAAUUCAUUUUCUUAUUAAUGAUCUCUUGAUUGUUCUAAUGAAAUCAUGUUUUUUUUUAAUUAUAAACACUAUGUUUUAAAUAAAAACAUAUGAUCUAAAAGCAAGUUUUUUUAAAAAAAUAUAUAUUUUUUAAUAUUUUGUAUUUGAUUGAAGGAAAAUAAUUAAUAUAAAAUAUAAAAUAAUAUAAAACAUCCAUCACAAAACUUAAAGAAAGUUUUAUUUUCAUGAGCAAUCUUUUAUUUUUUUGUUUUUGCAUGGUAGGUAUAUAGUCAUUGUCGGUCAAAUCCAUCACAAAAAUCCAGAGGCCAAAUUCUUUAAAAGGAAUCUGAUAGAAUAUACUAAAAAGCUUGUAUUUUUGCCUAAUUGUCAUUUCGGUCCCUGCAUGCAUAUUCAGUUUUCAUCGGCAAUAAAAUUGGAUUUGUUUUUGCAAAAUUGAGAUUCGUUUUGACAUCACAAUAAAUCCAUAGAAAACUAAUUAAAUCAAAUUAUCACCCAAAAAUACCAGCUAAUGUAGUGUAUAAGGAAGCAAUUAAAAAAAUUAAGGACUGGAAUAAAAAAUGUUUAAAAGACAAAAUAAAACAUAAAGAAAUGUUUGAAAGUAUUACUCCGCAGCAGGGUAUGUGUGUAGUGAGUUGUGUUGAAAAUGCCACGUAUAAGAAGAAAUAAUGUCUAAAUUGUGUCUGAACUGGUUAAAAUAAUAAUAAUAAUAAUAAUAAUGAUAAUGAUUUAUGAUGUUCCGUGUCUUGUAUAUUGAUAAAAUUAAUAUAUGUGAGGAUGUGAGAUUGUAUGAGAAAUAAAGUAUGUGACAUUGAAAAGAAUUAAAAUGUUGAGGAAAUAAAAUUUUAGGUAUUUAAUUGAAUUGGAUUGUUUGUGAGGUUCUAAAUUAUAUUUAGAAAUACUUGAGUUUGUGAAAAUUGGAUUGUUAAUUUUUUUUUAUUAAUUUUAUUCUUUAUUAUUUAAUUAUUUUAUAAUUCAAGUUGGUUUAAAUUAAUUUUUUUAACUUUUUUUUUAUUGUAUUUUUUAAUUACAUUGUUUAAAUUAACAAUUAAACUAAUAAUUGGAAUCUCAUAUUGUUUUCUCCUUAGCGUUUUUUCAUGUUAAAAUUCUUUUUUUCUGUACUGUGAUGAAUUAUAAUCUGGUUCAAUCAUAUUUUGAAAAUAUAUUAAUUUUUUUAGUUUUAAAUUAUUUUUUGGAUGUUAUUUUGAUAUAAAAAUAUUAUUUUAAUAUAUUUUUUAAAAAAAAACAAUUAAAAUAAAAAUCCUAAAUCUGAAUACCACUGCGCCUCAUAUUUAAUUUAAGCAGGCAAAGGUUUUUGACUUCGUAAUUUACAGGGCCUUUUUUUUAUCCACAUACACUUUUAAUAAAACAAAAUCGUUGAUUUCUGCACUGAUUUUUUUCUCUAAACAACAACUACAACAGAUUCCAAACACGAUGCCGCCGGAAGGGGAGCUCCGACACCCAUCACCGCCACCAACAGAGUCCACCACCACAAUAGACGACGAGGCGGGCUGGGUGUGGGCCCAGAUAAAAGCAGAAGCGAGGCGCGACGCCGAGGCAGAGCCAGCUUUGGCAAGCUACCUAUAUUCGACAAUUCUGUCUCACUCAUCAUUAGAGAGGUCGCUCGCCUUUCAUUUAGGAAACAAGCUCUGCUCUUCAACGCUUCUCUCAACUCUCUUGUACGAUCUCUUCCUCAACACUUUCACUUCAGACCCUGGUCUUCGCGUCGCUGCUGUUGCUGACCUUCGGGCCGCACGUGCUCGUGACCCUGCUUGCGUUUCUUUCUCUCACUGCCUCCUCAAUUACAAAGGUUUCUUGGCUUGCCAGGUAAACUAUUCCUAACUAACCAACUAAAUAACAUUUUUCUUGAUAGUCAUACUGUUUUACUUUCACUUUUAAUUGAUUUAGUUUUAUAAUUUUAUCAGGCUCAUCGAGUUGCUCACAAGCUGUGGAAUCAGUCUCGUAGGCCACUGGCGUUGGCUUUACACUCUCGAAUCUCUGAUGUUUUUGCCGUUGAUAUACACCCAGCAGCCAAGAUUGGCAAGGGUAUACUUUUUGAUCAUGCAACUGGUGUGGUGAUUGGUGAAACAGCAGUGAUUGGUAAUAAUGUCUCCAUUUUGCAUCAUGUUACACUUGGAGGAACAGGGAAAGCCUCUGGGGAUCGGCACCCCAAGAUUGGUGACGGAGUGUUGAUUGGAGCAGGUGCCACCAUUUUGGGGAAUGUAAAGAUUGGGGAAGGAGCAAAGAUUGGAGCAGGCUCAGUAGUGCUAAUUGAUGUGCCCCCUCGAACCACUACAGUUGGAAAUCCUGCAAGGUUAGUGGGAGGGAAGGAAAAACCAACUAAGCAUGAGGAAUGCCCUGGAGAGUCCAUGGAUCAUACUUCAUUUAUCUCUGACUGGUCAGAUUAUAUUAUUUGAUUGGUUUUGCUCCGUACUUGUCUCUUGGUUGGUACUGCAGCUACUUUACUAAUAAUGCUCCUUAUUCGGUUGGUUUUGAGCAGCGUGAUAUGCCUCUUUAUCUGUAAUUAUGCAUGUUUGUAUUGAACAACGACUAUAAUGGAGAACCUUGUCAUAUUUUUAUCUUUUGAGCUCUUCAAUUAUUUGGUGUGGUUUUAGAUUAGCUAUGAUAUAUCCAGAUUCAGUAACAACUAAUUGCAGGUUCAUUUUUUUAACAAUUUUAUUCUUAAGUAGCUAUAGAACUGCAGUAGCAUGCUAAGAGUACGACCUCUAUGGACUAUGAAAUGUAACUUCCAGCUUUAAUUUAUACAGAAAAAAAAAAAAAAAAAACUUUAAACUAUCCAAAAUCUUGAUAAGGUUCUGCUAAACAUAGUAGGCCAAGAGUAGGCCUUUUGUAACAAAAAAAAAAUUGAUGCAUAAAACUAGCUACAGACCUGCAGUAGUACCAAACAUACAAUGUCCUUCUUGAAUGUUUUUCAUUUCAUUAUACUUUAGAUAUUUUUAGCAACCUGGCUGAAAACAGUUCUUUGGAUGCGACUUUGGAUUGUUUGAGCAGGCCCAGUGUUUUCCACUGUUACAUUCUCUACUAAAAACUAUAUGUUUUUUUGCCUGGGAUAGUGACUUUUGUCUCCUAACCAACUGGAGAAAAAUUUAUUCAGUCAACACAGGCAAGGUAGUUAGUUUUCUUAGUGAUUUUUAUUAUUGGUAAUUAAGAUUCCUUUCUGGUUUGAUGUAGAAUCCCAAUGCUUAUGGUUACUAUGACCUCAAAAAAUCAUUGAUGUCAUUCAAACAGAUGAAACAAGCUCUGAGAUCUAAAUGUAUUGAGCAGAUGGUAGAAAUCAUGGAAGGAAUGUGGGAAUCUAAUGAAGCCUAGGCUUGUGUCAUCCAAUGAAGAUCAGACCCUACUAAUACUAAACAUCUCUUUACAACCAAUCUUAGGAUCUUAGUUGAUGAUCUGGAUGCAAAUCUUUGAGCUUUAUUUGUUUCUUUGAAGCAAAAAAGGUUUGCUUACUUGUGUAUAGUGCAGGGGCCAAGGGAUUUUUCUUGCAUAUGAAACUCCUUCUCACAUUAGCCAGUUAAGUUUAAUUGGUCCAUCCUUUUGAAAUUUUCAUAGAUUAUGCUAUCAAAUUUUAUUUUUUGGAGGCUUUAAGGUUAACUUCACUUUGGUCUGGUCACCAUUUCCAUCCCUCCUUAUCUUGGAUUUGUUGUAUAAUUGGCACGUUAAGUUUGAGUUACAAUUGAAAUUUAAUUUAAAGUACAGAUCUUUAAAAUAGAAAACUAAAAAUGAAGGUGAACGCACUCUCUUCUUUUGUGCUUUAUACAGACCUUCAAAGGCCUGUCUUAGAGCAAUUACCAGGGGAGUUGCUGUUGACCGUACUUGUUGAACAUCAAUCUCCUUUCAACUACAGAGAUACAACUCCUUAGCUCCAUACCAGCCUCUCUCCUUGCUGCAGGGAAUCUCUUCAAGAAAAUCUGAGGAAGGUUGUUUCUAUUGUUGCUGCCUGUCCUUGAAUUAAGUCAUUGGGCAUAAGUCAAUGCUGCUCAUGUCUCUCCUGGCCUUACUGCAAUACUGAAAGCUGACAUCUACCCUCUGGCCUCCAUAUGCCAUGGAAAAUGUUGUGGCAUUGAUCUUUUUGUUGCUGCUGUUCUUACAGACCAAGUGAUGAUGCUAUGGAUGGUUGUGUCCAUUUCAGUUUCUAAUAUGCAUCUUAUGAGCCCCAGUUGCAGCGCUUGAUGAUACCAUUUAGGUGGGCUACCUGUGUGAUCUCCACAUUUGAUGGAUUUAUCCAUCAUAACAUGUCCUCUGCUGUAUACCGUUCCUUUUCUCUACUGAGUAUGUGUUUUGUGUCCUUUUCAACUGCUGCAUUGAAGUGGUUGCUGGUUUUGUGUCCGAUUAAUUAAGCCUGCCAGCAUAUAACCAAAAACUUCCCUACAUGAUUUAGUCUGCUCUCUGAUACUAAUAGCCUCUUUAUUUACUACUUCAAUUGCUGGAUUUAUUUGUAUUCUUAUUACACCAGACCUGAGAAAACUCGAGAGGACAAAUACACCAAACACUUGAACACCCAGAAGUAUUGUUAAGGUAACCAAAAAGCCAGAUGCUAGUGCUGAAACUGGUAGUUUGUGCAUUGUGACCUCGAGCAUCAGGAAAUUAUUCGUACUGUGUAGCAAUUCGUGAAGUUUAUUGCUCUAUUUUGUAGUUGUUACUAGCAAUAAGUUACUGGUUUGAGAUGCUCUAUUUAAUAGUCCUGUUUUGUAGUUGUUGGCCAUAACAGUGAAACUGAGAAUAUUAGCAUUGACUGGGACUCCAGGAUGUAAGUUACAGACAAUCUUAUUGGGUUCGUUGUAAAUGUAGCCAUGACAUCUGAAAAUUCUUAUGUUAAAUGCAAAUUGUUCAGAAAAACAGCCGGCUGUCCAGCAUAUCUUUGAUGAAUUUCUAAUGAAUUGCUAGGUUUGCAAUCUCCAAUUUUAUGCCUUGUAUUUCAUUACACUUGAAAGUUUAAUUAUCUUCUGGUGAAUACAAUCGCCAAAUAUGUGGUAGCAGAAACUAAGGAUCCACAAAACUCAAGGACUAUAAUUUUCUCCAAUUUUAGAGAAGUGCAAGGUGAAAAGAUUUUCUUGUGUUCAUUUUUGCUGUAUUGCUAUAGUCUAUAUUUCUCAAUCUUUUGUUGCAUAUUCCUAGUGCUAGAAAAAUUUUCUUGACAUACGGAAGCAAGCAAACAGCAGGGCAAUAAAGAAGCACAUGCAUAAUGGAGGGAUAAAUAGCUUUAGUUUCCAUUGUAGCUCAAGAAUGGUGAGACCUGUUGGAAAGUUCUCUGGUUGUAUCCCUUCUUGUUAAUACUUUUAUCUUCUUAACCUAUAGUUCUGUUACAUUUAUUUCAGAUUCCUCAUAUUUUUAAACCAGAAGUCCAAUUUGUUGAGCUGUCAAUUGAACAAUAUGUUCCUCGUGGAGAGAAAGUGAAGGAUGAUAAUACCAUUCAGACACCAGUUUUCAAAGAAAAUCUAACUGUUACAGAGACUGCUUUACUUGCUAUCCCUAUGUGGAUGUACAUACAUUCAAGACAGUGAACCAGGCUUGCCCAUAGCUUUUUGCCCUUUUUGUCCUUAAGGAAUUAAGUCAUUUUAUCUUGUUUGGUUAUUAUCCCAGAAAACUAAUUUGUGUCUAGAGAGAAUAUACAUAUUUUCAAAAAUAAAAGCUAUAAAAAUAACCUGGCCCUUUUGUCUUCCCUUUUCAUUUUUCAAAAAUAAAAGCUAUGAAUGUAAUUCUGCAAUAUCUAGAUCCUCGCUCCUCAAGAGAAAACAUUGGAUCUGAUAUGGAAACAAUUAUCUGUCAAAAGAUGAAUCUGACCUGACAAGGAGGCCGGCUUCGAUAAUUUGAAAGCAAAGAACAGAACAUGGGAAAUCGGUAAGAUUGUGCCGGUAAGUGACUCAAGACAUCAUCUCUGCGAGCUGAUGAGUUCAGUAACGAUUUCGAAGAUUUUGAGCUAACCCCUCGAUUAACUAAUUGUUCCCGAGCCUCCGAUCAACGACGACGUUCAAUAUCCAUCCAAGAACAAUCCUUGUAACUCAAGCCUCAAACUAUGCGUACUGUUGUGGAGGACGGUCAACUUCUAAGCGCUUACAUGUCCUGUCCUAGAAUUUCUACCAGCGAGGUGAUCAGGGCUGGUUGUUGGGUUAAAUUUUCUUUAAUGUUAAAAAAGAUGUUAAAAAAAAACCAUAAUUAAUUUAAUAAAUUUGAUUGAUUUAAUAAUAUAAUUAUAAAAAAACUAAUGAGAAUAACUAAUAAAAAAAAUAAUUAUCGCCAAUAUUAUGAAAAGAUGCUUUUUUAAUAUUAUUAAAAGGUCUUAAUAAUUUUAUUUUAACAAAUUAAAAAUUAAAUGAGAAUAAAAUAAUCUAAAAUAAAAAUAAAUAAAUCAAAUCAAAUCUCAUUUACCGGCAUAUGAAACAUUAAAACACACACGCAUGCACAAGGAUAUACUCCCACGUAAGAAUAUGUGCUUCACGUUCAAGUGACAGGUAUGGUAAAAUUGAAAAACCAUUGAAUGUCUUCAAGGAACCGGGGAUCAUGGGAUCUUGUCUGUUUUGGUAUAUUUUUCCCAGAGAUCGAAUGUGUGAGCCGUUGCCAGCAUGUCGAAUAAAUUUGAAUAAUAAAUUAAAAUAUAACAUAGUUAUCCACAUCUUAAAUAAACAGGCUAAGCUAGCGUGAAAAAACUUUAACAGCCAAUUAAAUUGAGAAAAUUAAAAAAAAAUAACUAAAAAAACUAAACCAAGAAAAAAAAACGACCAAUUAAAAAAUCAUAAAAAAAUUCUAAUUCGGUUUGGUUUCGAUUUUUAAAGUCUAAAAUUGAUUAAACUGAACAAGUUCAACCAAAUCAAUACUCAAAAAUAAAAAUAAAAAUAAAUAGGAUAUUUUUUUCUAAUCAUAAACCUAAAUUAGUAUUCCUUAAAAUAAAAUCAGUCGCCCCCUCCUUUGUCCUCUGUGUCUCUCUUCUCUUAUAUUUUCCUCUAUGCUCAACAAAUGUUAAGCUCCGUGCUCAUUAAUCAUCUUAAUCAAAGGCAGUUGCCUCCUUGACUGAUCAAUCAUACGAGAAUGACAGAUUUGGGGUUGCACAACUCACUGGUAGCAAUGUUACUGUUCUCUCAACAUUUAUCUAUAAAACGAGGCAAUCCUCUACAUGUAUAAGCUUAUGCCAUGGCUGAUGUGUUAAGUAACUCAAUCUAUGGUAUUGUGUCUGCUUUCACGAUAAUAUGCUCCCGUGCAUCAAAGCAGGUCUUUUGAGAAGGAUUGGGUCACUAAAAGCAAAUCCCUUUUGAAACUUAUGGGCUGCGUAUAUAGAAGCUGCGUCAUUUCUUGAAUUUUCAAGCUAGAGAAUUGAAUUGGUUUGGAAUGAAAAAAACUCGAAUCGAACUUGAUUGGUUCAAAUUAAUUUUUGAUUUGGUUUGGUUUAAAAAUUUGAAAAGAAAUAAUUUUAAUUUAGUUAUUUAUUUUGUUUUAAAACCAGACAAAACUGAAAAUGCUCUAACAAAUGUCACAGGGCAGGAUGGAUUUUUAUAUCAAGAAGCUCAGAACGCCAUGUUAUCCAGAAUAGAAAUGUUUAAGAUGUAGAAUUUGAUUAUUGAUAAAUUGCCUCCCAUAUUACCACUUAAGUUGGAAAAACAUCCUUCGUGACAUCAUGGCAUGUAUCAUCUGGCGACCCAAAACACAUACAUGUCUACGUUAAUAAAGGUAUAUAGCCACAAUUCUUUCGGCAAUCUCCUCAAAUGCCUGAAUUACCUUCACUUGUAGUUAAAGAACGACUAAAGUUGAGCAUUAUAAAUUAACCAUAAUACCUUCUGAACUUGAAGCAUUUUAACGAAAAAUAAAGCUUCCAGCCUUCAACAAUCUUACAACCAUCUCUACUCUCUACAUCUCUAAAUCCUAAUGGUUAAAAACAUUUUUACACGCAAAGGAACCAGGCACAGCAUCCACAGACAUGUCAGACAAGCACACAGGUAUCCCCUUACAUGAUCCUCGGGUCAGGAAAAAAGAAGGCCAGUCAGACAAUCACUGAUCAGACAGGAGUGACAUGGCUCGAGUAAAAUCUAAGGAUUUGAGAGCAUGCUCAGGGAAGCGUGUUCCAUUUGGUAAAAUCAACCCACCUUCAUGAGGAAGGAUGACGUUUUGCUGGUUAACACCACCUUCAUCAGCUUUUGUUGAUGAAACUUCCUUCAUUUGCUUCACAUGUUUAAAGAACUCAGCAACUUGGCGCGCAUAGCUUCACAAAGGAAAUUGUUAAACAAAUUAGUUCAGCAGCACAUGGGGCUUUAUGGAUCGAAAAACGUAUAACAAUUUUCAGCACAGUACUGAUAACCCUUCAUUCAGGAAACAAGAGUAGUUUGAUUUUCCUCACGGAUUGCAGAAUACAUCCAAGUUGGAGGUACAUCCUACACUUUUCAUAUGGGCUACAGACCAGGAGGUAACAGUAUAAUUAUAAUUAUAACUAUAUUUAUAGACUUCUCGUCAAUAUUCUACCCAUGAAAAAUCAACAUGUCUUCAUUUUUUUGUAUGCAUGCACAAGAGUGUGUGUUAGCUGUAGAGUGCAAUGUUAAGUGCUCUUCUUGCUUGUACUAUAUUUUUGAAGACUCGACAUAUGAGAAAGAAGAUUUUCAGUGAACUUACAAUUUUGGGAUCCAUGCUUGUGCAACAACUAAUUAGGAAGAUAAAAGCUAAUACAGCCAGCUUCAAAAAGAUUUGGCCAAGAAACUGAAAUUGAGUGUAUGGGAAGACUUGUGUAGGUGUGUUUGCUGUAUUCUAACAGAGAAGGAAGAAUUGUUAACACUUAGUAGUGGUAAGCCACAAUUUGCAGUUGUCUGGGGUUUCUUAAUUGGAGCUCAACUCUAUUUUCACAGCAACUUUGCAGGAAUUCAUUAUUGUUCCCAUAUUGCAUGAUGCCCAUUCUAAGGGUUUUUUUGACAUUUCCCACAUUAGAGGGGAUGGCUAUUCUCCUUGUUUUAAUUCAUCAUCAUUCCUUCUAAUAAAUACUCUAUCUAAAACAUCAUAUGUAUAAUGGUGAGUGUGACAGUUGUAAAAUAAGAUAAAAUCCAUAUUUCUCUGCUCAUAAGAUAAGACAUUUAAGUGAUUGCUAUCUUACUUCUCCUUAGCUUCAACAUCCCUGCUAAAAUCAAUGUUGGCUUCGCAAUCAAGAAUCAAAGCAGGGACCUGCUCAGAACAAAAGCUUUUUUAAGCCAGGGUUUCUUUUAAAUCAUAUGAAUCUCAAAGGAAAGGAUAAGCUUUUGAUACCUUUUGAAUACUUGAAUGCAUAUGAUCGCCUUCCAAAUAAAACACCCUGUCUUUUAUAUCCGGAUGUAGUGAAUUAUCCAGAUUUAGUGGAAGCUUACUCACAGAAAGUACUCCAUGAUUACCACUUUCAAAUGGGAAAAGCCAGCUCUCAUGUUUCUCAUGCAGAUCACAAAGAUAAUCUAGGCUGACUCCCCCUUCUUCUGUCCUUUUCCUAUGCAUCAUUCUCUUGUGACAAGUAUCAGGGCUUGCCCUAAGGUAGAUGAAAGCAUCAGGAAUAAGCCCUGGCAAAACUGAGACAACUGGAUCAAACCAUGAGUCGUAAAUGCUGAUCUCCAUUUCAUUCAUCCACUUUGCCUCAUGCACAGCUCGUACAAAGACCUUUAUCAAGUAAAAGUGAGAAUCAAAUGCAUCAGCCUUCAAAAACUUAAAUCAGGGUUUUGUUCCUCUCGCAUGGGAUCAACCAAAUGAGAAAGAGCUACAAGGUUUUAAAUCAUGUCUGAUCAUGCUCAAACUUAAGCAAAAAUCCAAAGUCCUUUAAUCAGAUCACUAGUGAUGUCAAAAAGAAGCGUAAAAAUGAAAAACAUUAGUCUAUAACUAUUUGCCAACUUUAAAACUGUGAUUUAAAGGAUGCUUACCAUUCUGUCACUGAAAACACUUCUUUCCAUCAACCUGAGUGGCUUCAACCCACCAGAUGAUUCUCUUUCCUGCAUAACCCUUGUGACAAAAACAUAAUUCUGGAAGGUAUAAGCAUACCUUGAUGGGUCAGCAUAGAAAGCAUCAAGUAUAUUAAAGUGGUCAGGCCCAACAUCCUGCCACUUAUCAAUGGGUUCAGGCACCACCUCAACAAGAUCUCGCAGCUCAAUUGUAUCACUAACUAUUCUCUUAAGAAAUGUUGUCUUUCCAACACUGAUAUUUCCCUCGACACAAAAUGUGAGUCGCUUCUUAGGUUUGGUCCUUGCAUCUGGAUUUAAAACCUUUAACUCUUCAUCCACACUCUCUUUGAUGAAAGUAGUUAUACUCUCAGCAUGAUUUUUGUGAAUAAUUCCCACAGAACUCUGUAAAUACUCAACCAUUGUCUCACUGGAUUUUCCAAGAAACUACAACAGGAGAACCAGAAUUCAUGUUAGUACUUAGUAUACAAAAAACAGGGGGGAGAAAAAGGAAACAGUAUAUCCAACCACCCUAUGAAAUUUCCUCCAUUCACAUCAAACAUAGAAUUAAACCUUCUCUGUAGAGCUAUUUAUUGGGAUCCAUGAUUAUGGAGUUUUGGGCAUUAGCCAAUUUGGAUACAACAGGCAUAAGAGAUCACCUUUAAUAUUAAAUUGCAGUUUGCAGUGGUUAGUAUAUAGCAAACAGGAUUUCCUCUGUUCUCAUCAAAACAUGACAGUGAAAUUUAUUCUCUUAAGUUGUUUGUUCAACUCCAUAGCUGUUAAAUUAGGGCAUGUUUCUGAUGAAUCUUUCACUCCUAUAGUUACAAAAUUCUAAAACUACUGGUACUCAGCAAGAUCAGCACCCAAAGUAGUUGGUUUGCAUCAACAAAACCAAGACCCCAUUCCAACUUUCCUCAAUCUAACCUAAAGCCCACCGAACAAACACUUAAAACACAACAAACAAACCGCAAAUUGAAAACCCCCCAAAAAAUAGUUACAAAACAAACACAUUUUUACACGAUAACACCAAAAUCUACAACUCAAAAAAAAAAUACCAUUACCUUAUCCUUAUAAAACUGCUUAAGCUCAGCCAUUCCUGUAAACCCUUUCUCCACCAAUUUUCUCAAAUUCUUUGGCCCUACACCAGGAAUUGUCAGCAAAUCAGCAUUCCCCUCCAUAUCACCACCCGUCCUCUUCUGCCUCCUACUCAACCUCGCCGCCCUUUCUUCCGCCCCCUUUUCACCUUUUCCUUCCUCUUCUCCAUCACCACUACUCCUCACACCUUCAGCAUCCGCCGCGGCCACAGCAGUCCCAAAAGGCCCUUCCUGCCCACUAGCCACCGUGCAAUGCCACGCCGGCCGUGCCACCACCCAUGCCCUUAAUGGGUUAGUUGUUUUAUACCCAACAGCGCUACGACAAGUACAGUAGGUAGUCGAAUAGAAGCGAGAGGUCAGUGUGGGUGUGAUAGUGAGUUUCUUGGCUACAAAGGCAGCUAAAAAGGAAGUACUGGUGCAGAAAUUAGUAGCAGUUGGCAUUGAAAAAGAAGGGUAGGGUUUGUUUUUGAAGAGAAAAAAACUAGUAGAAACAGGAGUGCAGAGGAGGAGGGGGCUUGAAGGGUAUCUUUGUAGCAACUUCUGCAUCCCUCCUCCUAACAAGCAUUUCAGUUCACAGGGAAGAACUUCCUCCUAUGUCAUAAUAAAUUUGUGAAGGGAAGACGAGGAGUCAGGGGAGGCGGGAAGGUGUGCUAGUGAGUGUUAUUUUAGAUAAGAAAAAAAAAAUUGUUGUUGUUUACACUUUACAGGGGUUUUGACUUUAGGGUUUUUCGGUUUUGACUUUAAAGAUUUAGCCUUUAUUUGGGAGUGGGUUUAAAUAGAGAUUGAUAAACAUUUAUUUUAUUUUUUAAAAUUAAAUUUUUUAUAUUAUUUUAAUAUAUAAAUGUAAAAAAUAAAUUUUAAUAUAUAUAAAAAUAAUUUUAAUAAAUUUCUAAAAAUAUAUAUUUUAAAAUAUAAUUUCUAUUUUAUUCUUAAACACCCUAUAAAAAGUAAAAACAGGGAUUUCAAGGUUUAUUUGGCAUUGGGUUUUUUUUUUUAUUUCGUUUUGGUAUUUAUGAUUUAGGUAAAAAUUUUAAGUUAAUUUUAAAUAUAAUAAAAGAAUGUGUUAAUGUUAUGGAUGUAUUUUAAAAUAUUAUAACUUUUUUAUUUUAAAAACAUAAACAUAUUAUUUAUGUUAAUAUGUCGUUUAUGUUGCUAUAAAAUUUCAAGUUAAUUUUUAGGAUAAAAAAAUAUUUUAUAAAUAAUUUUUAAAAAAUAAAAAAUAAAAGCAUAUUGUUUAUACUUCAUAAAAUAAACUAAGAAAUAUAUAAAUUAAUAAAUAAAUAAAAUUAUUAAUACUAAUUAAAUAAUAAAACGGCAAGCUAAUCUUCAUAUUAGAAAUAAAAUACAAAUGUGCUUAUAAAUAUUUUACAUUGAUUAUCUUUUUAUUUUAAAUAUUUUUAUUCAGUGAAAUAUUAAUAAUAUAUAAAUAAUUUUUUGUUCUUAUAAAAUCUUCUUAUAAAUAUAGCUAAUUCAUAUAAAUAUUUAAAAUAAAAAAUGAUACAAAUAAAACUAAUAUCUUAAUAGUAUCAUGCAACUAAAAAAAUAUAAAAAGAUAAAUAACUAUUUUAAAGACAAAGCUAAUUCGUUUAAGAAAUAAGAGAGAAAACAUAAAUGAAUAUUUGAAAAGAAAAAAUUAAUGAAAAAAGGUAAAAGAAAAGUUAGGCGUUGAUGGGCCACCUGAAUAUAGUAAUAUACCCUAGAUUGUUUUUUUAAAAAAAAAAAAAAAACUAGACGCGCUCGGUCCAAGAAAUCUAGCCCCACGCCUGAAUUUUUUUUUAUCAAGAGGGGAUGACACGUAAUAGUUUUCUCUUUCUUUCUAGCAAAUAGGAAUACGGAUAGUGUGAAUGACAGAUUUUUUCCUUUAAAACAUGGGAAGAUUAUUCUGGGCAGCGGAUCGCACCAUAUUAUUAUUAUUAUUAUUAUUAUUAUUAUUAUUAUCAUCUGUUAUGAAUAAGAUUGCACUAUGUUAUUAGAAGAUUCUAUCUCUGAGUGUCCGGGAUUGAUCAGAAACAAAGUUUUAUAUUAUAGUAAGAUUAAUUAAAGUGAGAGGAACAUAAUAUAAAACACACAAAAAUAUGUGAUGAAUCUCAAAGCUUUUAGAAUUUUUAUUUUAAUUUAAAAUUUAAUGGUAUUUAUUUUUUUACUUCUUAAAUUUAAAAGAGAAGGGAGAAAAUUAUAUAUUGAUCACAUUUUAGCAACAACAAUGACCCUUAAUGUUAAAGUGUUUCAUUCAAUAAAAAUAGUUUGAUGUUUGAUGGUGGUGUAUAUCUUCUACAAGUACAUUUAAAAAAGUAGAUUGGAAUUUGUUAAGAAUUUUUUUUAUUCAAUUGAUUUUUGUUUUAUUUGAGUGAUUUUGAAGUAUUUUAAGGUUGAUAGGUGAUUUUAUGAAUGUUUUGUGAUAUUUUAAGGUGUUUUGGGUGAAAAUUGAUGAAAAAUAAAUUUUUAGGUUAACCCCUCAAGCAUUCAACCACAACAGUGGUGACUGGAUUUUAUACAGCAGCAUAGUAGGCGAUACAUCUCCUCCCAUUACAGACAACCUGUCACCUAAUUAAAAAUAAAAAAUGAGACAUCCUGAGAAAAAAAAAAUCAGGUGCAGGCCUCGACUUGUAGGCCUUGUCGCACCUAGGUUAUUUUUUGUGGUUUAUUUUAAAUUACAUUUAUUUCUUUAAAAAAACUAAUUAAUUUAAAAUAUUAUAAAUAUAUAGAUCUAUUAAAUUCUUAAAUUAGUUAAGAAUAUAUUUUAAAUAUUAUUUUAUAAAAUACAAUUCAAUUCAUAUUUUAUUUUUAAAUAAGAAUAUGAUAAUCCUUUUCUGAUAAUAGGUUUUUUUGUCUCACAGCCAUUAUUAUGCUUUUUUUUUAAAGUAUCCAUUUGCCUUUUAUUAUAGCAUAUAUUUUUAUAUUCAUAUAAUUAAAUAAAAAUAAUUUAAAAAACAUGAUGUUAUGAAAUCAAGGUGGUUCUAUGACUCUAGUUAUAAGUUUAAUAAGUUAAUUUGGAUUCGAUUGAGCUAUCAAAGAUGAUUUUGUAUUGAUUUUUUAAAAUAAAUUUACUAUUUAUAUUAAAUUUUAAGAUCAUAAUAAAAAUUUUUACUUCCAAAUAGAACAAAAAUUAGAGAAUGAAAUGACAUGUAAGGAAGAAAAAGAAAGAUCAAGAUAAUAUAGCAUCAAAUAAUGAAAUAUCACACAAAUGAGAAAAAUAAUAAAUGUGGAUUCAAGCAAAAUAAGAAAAUUAUAGAAAGAGAUCCCGUACAGUCAAGAAAAACAAAUAAGUUAAUUUUUUACCAUAAAUUUCUAAAUUAGAUCCUCAUUUAACAAUGAAAGAAUAUAAAAAUGUUUUAAUAGUUGUUGUUCCAGUUUCGAUAGGGAUGUAACACUAUAAAUUAGGGUCUAGGAUAUAUAUACAAUGAGAACAUUAAAAAAAAACCCUUACAUACAUAAAAAAAAAAUCAGAAAAUCCUUGAGAAACAUAGAAAAAGAGAUAGAAAAAUAUUUAUGUUUGGUCAAUGUUCUAGAAUAAAAGAGACAAAAAAUAAAAUAAAAUAAAAAUAUAUUUAAUUAAAAAGAAAAAAACAAAAAUAUAAAAUAAAUCUAUCUUAGAAAUAAUUUUAGAAUAUUUCUAUACUCUUAAAAUAAAUUUACCCCGUCAUUAAAAUCAAUCAACCAUCUCUAUUCUGGUGUUCGUUUUGAUUUUUCUAGCCAGAUCAAACCUCGAAAUAAGCCAGAAAUCACAGCCUGUUUCCAUCCAAAAUCAAGUUUUGUUUUGUUUUGUUUUUUUUUUUUUUGCGGGUCUACUAAUGACGCAUGGACUAUACGUGCCUAGAACUGCAUGACUCAGUUCCAACAAAUUUUGGCCGAUUCCAGGAGCCCCGGAAGGUUGUUUUUUAACCCCAAAUCAUUGUUUGUUUAUUUUAAAUAAUUUUUAUUGUAUUAUUAAUUUUUAUGUCAAUUAGGAUGAAAUAUUAAAAGUGUUACUGUUGCAUGGCAAGCAUAAAUCCGCUAAGCUUAGUUAUCUAAGAAGACAUAAAACCAUGAGGGAUUUAGUUUUCGAGAUGGAAUAAGAUUAGUGAUUUAUUCAAACGUGUGGGUUGGGAGGAUGAAAAUAAAAUUUUAUGUAAAAUACCCUUGCUUUUUUAUGUUUGGUAUGAUUUGUAUUUUUUCCCCGUCUCUCAAUAUCAAAUUAUAAAUUAUAAAUUCUAAUUAGAUUUUUUCUUGAUGCUAUAUUAAGGAUAAAUAAAUUAUUUUAUGUAAAUAUUGAUAUCAAAUGUGUAUUUUCAUACUUUUUGUCUCUUUUUGUCUUAAAUGUGUAUUGUUUGGAUAUCUAUAUUAAUAAUAAAAAAAAAAAACAUCACAUAUCUUGUUUUCAUAUGAAUCAAUGUAAUAAGAAAAUUGAACAAAUUCAAACUUGAGAUUUAUUGUUGGAAAUGCAAAAACAAAUAAUUACAAUAUCACUUUAACUUGAACCUUCUCCUCCAAUAUCUAUUGCUCCUCUUUAACAUGACUGCUUCCUUUUCCUUUCGCAAUCCCUUUAACCAUUUUUCAGAUUUUUCAAAGGAUCAAGUUUCGAAUGCCUUUUGGUCUCUAGCCUUUUUAUUUGGAUUUGAGGUUGAACAGCUUCAUGACUUCUACUCCUUUUCUCAACUCGAAGCUCUCUUCUUCCCAACUUGAAAUUCAGCAUGUUAUACCUUCUCUGUUGUUCUCAGCAGGUUUUGGAAACAUGGCGAUGCAGAAAGAUGGUUUCCUCACCUGGUAGCAAUAUUUUGCUCAUCAAAAGCACUAAUCUCAGAGUCUUCCAUGGUAGAUUUGAGAGUUUUAUUCUUACAAACCUCAUUCCAACCCCAACUUUAUCAAUAAGCUAUUCUCCAUUUCAAUUGUUAUAUCAGAUCCAGUCAUUCUCAGUUGAAUUAUAAGAGGUUUUUGUACUUGAAUUGUCAAUAGAAACAGAAGAUCUGCUGGAACUUUUAGCCUUUGCCUCUGGAACUUCAAUUUUAGCACCCACAUCGCCAUCCGAGAAAUAGCUACUUUUUCUUUAAAUUCAAUGAAACGGCAGCCAUGGCUAAUAUCUUGCUUCACAUCAUUAGCAGGAUAAUUUAGAGCUGUAUAAUCUACAAUAGGAUUGUUCUUAGCUCCAGCCUCUACUUUCGCAGCUUCAAGAGAACGAGAACUACUAUUUCCAGUGAACAUAUCAUCUGCAAAAACAUAUUAUUGUUAGUUAAGAUCAUCACCAAAAGCUUGGAAAAUAUAAUUUGCAAGAACAUACUAUUGUUAGAGUGGUCAAAUUUUUAUUUUAAUUUGGUAACCCAAUAUAUUUUAAUAGUUUUGAAGGAAUAUAAUUUAAGUAUUCAAGAUAAAAAAUUCAAGACUCAUGAAGGCAUUUUAGGAAUAUUUUCUUGAUGAACUUCAAAACACUUAAUUAAAAAUACAAUAUUUAGCUUACCAUCUGAUUUGCUAUUAAAUGUUUUAAUUAUCUCCAAUAUCCCAAACUUAUAAAACUAUACAAUUUAUUAAAUGUUUCAAUUAUCUCCAAUAUCCCAAACUUACAAAACUAUACUAUUUUG